rnacentral:lncRNA from 1 species
GGAUCCUUCGGGAUCCCUGGGCUGGUCUCUCGUGGCGCCAGGGGCCACAACGGUCACCAGACGGAGCCUGGCCGUUCCUUUACCCAGCCCCACGGAGGAUGGAGGGACAGCCUGGCCCGGGCUGCGGGCUUGAGAUCACGGUGGGGCCCCCUCGGGGACUGUGUUGUCUCCGAGGAAUUGGGGUCACUUGCAAGGUUGUCAGGGCCCAUCCUGGGGGUGGCGGUGACGCUGGAGGCCACUGGGGGCCACCGCUGCUGCGUGGCUGGGGUCCCAUCAGCUGGCCCUGACUCAGCCCUGAUCCUGCCCCUGUGCGCUCCCCGAGAUCCAGCGGCCCCCAGGGGAUGGGGCGGGUGUGGGUGUCGGCCGGGCCGCAGGGGGCCGAGCCCUCUCCAAGGUCCUGAACCUGCACCUCGCCCUGGGCCCCGCCUGCAUUCUCCUGACCCUGUAACCUGCCCUGGUUCAGGCCCCGCCACCUCGGGGUGCGGGUGGCAGGGCCCAGCCCACGCGUGUCUUGGGGUCUGCAGGAGGGGCCCUACUCUCGGGAAAGCUGGCCUCCCCAGCCCUUCACCUGGACGGCUUGACCCCGAAGACUUGGCAGGAAGGGGGGGGUGGCCCCAGCAGGGGGCAGGGCCCGGGACACCAUCCACCCGCACCUGCCCCGGGAACCACUGCACACCCAGCGUCCAGGGCCUGGGACCGUGGCUGUCGGGGUGGGUGGCGCCAAGGCUGCACGGCCCACGUCCUGAGCCGCUGCCCUCCCUGGGCUCCAGGCCCCCCCCACGACCUGGAGCCCCCUCUGGCCCGUGGCAGGUGAGCUUCGUCGUUCUGCGCCCCAGCCCUGGAACAAGCUCAGCCCCAGGCUCGGGGUGGACGCUGCUCCCGGGUCUCCCCACCCAGGGGUGUGAGGCAGAGGCUCAGCCUGCGUGGGCCGCACGCCCGGGUGUCCGUGGAAGGAAGACGUGGCGGCCGCUUGCGGGCCGUGACCCACGCAGCUGUCCUCCCUCGAGCCCGCAGCUGCCCCUGCGGAGUAGCGGCCACCCCGGACCCAGCAGGGCCACCACCGCGGCCGAGGGCGCUGACCCCAGGGGCUCCGCGCCCUGCCACCCUGUCCCUCGGCCCCAGGAGCCCAGCCGGGCGGAGGGAGGGGAGCGGCGGCCCCCAGGGGGUCGGGCAGAGCCGGCGCAGAAGGUGCCCAUAGCAGGUCUCCCUGCGGCCCUGGCUUUCAGGCCAGCCUCCCCGAAGGGGGCGCACAGGGGCCGACGCCCCACAGCCCGCGGGCGCGGUGUAGACACAGGCUGA